AGACUUUCUUUGGAAAGCUAGCACACUUUUAUCAGCAAGGUCACACCAGGAAUUUUAGGAGGACAAGUAAAAAAUGACUUCCUCAAGCAAAAGGGAUCCUUUUAGGUCAUCGGAAUGAAUUGUUUGAAAGCUUCAAAGCAGCCUUGCUUCUCAUUACUGGAGCCUGCCUUUACAAGAAAUGCCUUUUUUCAAUUAUUUUCACUUUUCAUUAGAAGUCUUUGCAGUUGUUGCUCACCUCAUUAAAUCCACUAAGAUGCUAUGUGUUUAAUUUCCAUGUUAUAUAAUUUGUAGCAAAUUGUUUGACGCGAAACCUCGCUUUCGGAGCCUGUGAUUUGGGAAGGUUUCCCCUGCCCUUCCCCCAGUCUCGCCAGUUCACCUUUUUGAGGAUGGAACAAAUUAAGAUAAUGAUGCAGGGGCUCAUCUCCUUUGGUGGCAUAGUAACCCCAAGACCAGCAGUAUCUUCUUAGGACGCACUCCAGCAGGUUCCUAAAUAGAUUUCUAAGCAGUGGGCUAGGAGGAGAGAGACAAGAAGACUCAGAUGAGAACAAACAGGCACAUUUCAAAAUAGAAAAAAAGCCUGAAAAAUUGGUCGACUCUACAUUGUUGAAACAUCAUGAGAAAGAAAAUUAUUGCUUGAAAGCAAUUUCCUCCUGGAAUCUAUCCCCUGCAGAUUUGUUUUAAGGAAGCUUCUGGAUUAGCUGCCAAAGACUGUGAGGUCUUUCUGUCUUAACGUCUUAAAAAAAAAAAUUAUUUGAAGUACUGUAAACCAACAUGAAUAAAAUGAUAUGGGAUCGAGAAAUAAUUUGUGUUCAUAAAUGGAAAACAAUCCAGUGUACGAGUUGCACUGAAAUAAGCAGUAUGAAACAGUGAAAGGCUGCCUUUUUAAAUACCACACUUUAAAAACCCCUCACUACUUUUCAUUUUAUUCCGAGUACUUAUUUGAGACUGAAUUUUGAUGGAAAAUAUUUUAAACUGAACGAGCUCUUAAGCAAUUAAUGAUUACAAUUCUAGUAGAAGUGACAUGAUAUAACCCCACAAAUAUACCACAAGAGCCGUGCCAGUGACUGCUUAGUAUUUGUGGUGGCGGACGAAUGGGAGUGUGGUUCUGGCUCAUUCCAGAACAAGCAAUUACGAUGGUCAAUCACACUAAAUUGCAUGCAGUACACCGCUGGUGUAAGAAUAAAGGCAAACACAUUUUCUCUUUUGCGAUAUUUUUACUUUUGUUUGGCUUUGAGCAUAUUUAUACUAAUUAUUUAAGUACUUAACACAAUUUAGACAAAAUAAAUGAACCAGAAAAACUGCCAUUUGCCCGUAUUCGUCGCGCAUGAGAUUGACUGACAUCGGUCACUGUCUCAAUGUCCCAGGGCACAAGCAGAUGUAAAAUCUGAUUUUAAAAGUCUCCCAAACUAGAUGAUUGCAUAUUUUAGCAUAUAGAAGAUCUGAUUAUUGUGUAUUACUUCUUUUGCAGGGUAAUUGACAUUAGUAUGCAAGCAACCCUGAGUGCAUCCUUAUGCUUCUCUUCUAUCUUUCUGUGUCUAUACUUCACUGACUUGUCGCCAUUCUCACACGUAAAGCUCUAUAUACAUCUUAGCUGGAAAUUAAAAUCAGCAAACCUAAGGGGAUCCCAAAUGGCUCAGUUCCAUUAGCAUGCUACUCUCAGUUUUGGCUCCGGUCACGUUCUCAGGGUUGUGAGAUCGAGCCCUGC